AUCAGGGAGUACGUGAACGCCAUCAGCAAGCGAUCAAACACUGAUCGAACCCCAGUAGCUGAAGCUAACGACGAUCGAGAAUAAGAAGAUCGACGACGAUGAGGCCUCGUGUUGUCCAGGUAUGGUGCCUCAUUGUGCUCGCCAUGAUCGUCGUCUUCGCGGCGACGCCGGCAAUGGCGGCCCGCGACGGCCGCCGGCUUCACCCGCCGGCGCCGGCGGCUCGCGGCGGCGGGGCGUGGAACAGGGUGAGUGUGACGGCGGAGAUCGUCGGCGGCGGCGGCAAGUGGGAAGUCCCCGGCGGACCUGACCCGCAGCACCACCACUAAUCUGAUGAUAUAAUCGUUUUCGGAGGAUGUAACUCACGGUGACGUCGACUUAGUUUGGUUUGGUCGGACUCAGACUGCAUGAGUGAAUGAACGAAUAAUAAAUCGGCAAUGUUUGGAGAAUCCAUGCAUAUGCUGCAGGAAUAAUGCAUGGAGAAUCUUUAUGUAAUCCCUUGUGGUUUCCUAUGUGCUUUGUGAUCAUUAUUUUACUUCCUGGGUGAUGUCGUUA